UUUCUUUGCUGGCGACCGGCGCACGGGUGAGUAACACGUAUCCAACCUGCCCUUUACUCGGGGAUAGCCUUUCGAAAGAAAGAUUAAUACCCGAUAGCAUAAUGAUUCCGCAUGGUUUCAUUAUUAAAGGAUUCCGGUAAAGGAUGGGGAUGCGUUCCAUUAGGUUGUUGGUGAGGUAACGGCUCACCGAGCCUUCGAUGGAUAGGGGUUCUGAGAGGAAGGUCCCCCACAUUGGAACUGAGACACGGUCCAA
rnacentral:rRNA from 1 species